rnacentral:rRNA from 1 species
CAGCAGCCACGGUAACACGGAGGGUGCAAGCGUUAAUCGGAAUUACUGGGCGUAAAGCGCACGCAGGCGGUUUGUUAAGUCAGAUGUGAAAUCCCCGAGCUUAACUUGGGAACUGCAUUUGAAACUGGCAAGCUAGAGUCUUGUAGAGGGGGGUAGAAUUCCAGGUGUAGCGGUGAAAUGCGUAGAGAUCUGGAGGAAUACCGGUGGCGAAGGCGGCCCCCUGGACAAAGACUGACGCUCAGGUGCGAAAGCGUGGGGAGCAAACAGGAUUAGAUACCCGUGUAGUCCCUGUCUCUUAUAC